rnacentral:lncRNA from 1 species
ACCCGCCACCAUUUUCACAUUAUCGAACAACCUUCACCUUCCUCUUCGCCUCCAUAAUCAUUACUCGAAUAAUGACUCCUGUUCCCAUUAUACCCAUUAUUAUACCCUCCAUGGUCGUAUCCAAACCCACCGUAACUAGGCGGCGGCGGUGGUGGUGCUAUUGGCAUCCCGUAGCCAUGCUGAAACGGAGCACCACCGUAACCUUGAUCGUAAUACUGCCCGUAUCCCACCAUAGGUGGGUAAGCUGAUUGUGGGUACAUCUGUGGAUAGCCGUGCACUGGUUCAUACACCAUCUUCGCAACCUCCGGGUUCGGAGCAAAAUCUACUUUCUUCGGAGCUUCUUGUUUUGGCUUCUCCGCCUCUUUAGGUUUCCCCUCCGGUGGCUUCCCUGCAUCCUUCGGUUUAGCCUCCGGUGGCUUCCCAGCAUCCUUCGGUUUCGCCUCCGGUGGCUUCCCUGCGUCCUUAGGUUUGGCCUCCGGUGGCUUUCCUGCAUCCUUUGGCUUGUCAGCGGCUUUGGGUUUCUCCUGUUGAUCCUUUGGCUUGUCAGCAGCUUUGGGUUUCUCGGCUUCCUUGGGUUUUCCGGCAGGCUUGUCGGCAGCUGGUUUGGCAUCUUUUGGUUUGUCAGCCGGUGGCUUCGCCUUCUCAGCCUCUUUUGGCUUAUCGGCGACGGCGGCGGGUUUAGCUUUUUCCGGUUCUUUAGGCUUUUCCGGCUUCUCGACGAUUUCUAUGCUCUGAAUCGCACCUCCACCUUUGUAACAAAGCUUGUCUCGAAUAGCUUCAGGGCUACAACACACCACGAUUAAUUUGACCUUGUUCUUGUCCACAUCAAAGACCUG